rnacentral:misc_RNA from 1 species
CCGUGCCUGCGAGCGCCCGCGGCUCCUUUCUUUAGGGGCUUGUUGGGUGCCGCGUCCGGCCCAACCGUGUCUAUCUGUACCUGUUGCUUCGGCGGGCCUGCGGGCUCUGCUCGCUGCCGGGGGCCCCUGGGGCUCCGGGCUCGUGCCCGCCGGAGACGCCUGGAACUUCUGUUGAAUCUAGCGGUCUGAGUGGACUUUAUAAUCGUUA